ACGACGGGUAGCCGGCCUGAGAGGGCGACCGGCCACACUGGGACUGAGACACGGCCCAGACUCCUACGGGAGGCAGCAGUGGGGAAUAUUGCACAAUGGGCGAAAGCCUGAUGCAGCGACGCCGCGUGAGGGAUGACGGCCUUCGGGUUGUAAACCUCUUUCAGCAGGGAAGAAGCGAAAGUGACGGUACCUGCAGAAGAAGCGCCGGCUAACUACGUGCCAGCAGCCGCGGUAAUACGUAGGGCGCAAGCGUUGUCCGGAAUUAUUGGGCGUAAAGAGCUCGUAGGCGGCUUGUCACGUCGGAUGUGAAAGCCCGGGGCUUAACCCCGGGUCUGCAUUCGAUACGGGCUAGCUAGAGUGUGGUAGGGGAGAUCGGAAUUCCUGGUGUAGCGGUGAAAUGCGCAGAUAUCAGGAGGAACACCGGUGGCGAAGGCGGAUCUCUGGGCCAUUACUGACGCUGAGGAGCGAAAGCGUGGGGAGCGAACAGGAUUAGAUACCCUGGUAGUCCACGCCGUAAACGUUGGGAACUAGGUGUUGGCGACAUUCCACGUCGUCGGUGCCGCAGCUAACGCAUUAAGUUCCCCGCCUGGG
rnacentral:rRNA from 1 species